AAUGAACGCUGGCGGCGGGCCUAACACAUGCAAGUCGAGCGAAGCCUUCGGGCUUAGCGGCGGACGGGUGAGUAACGCGUGGGAACGUGCCCUUUGGUACGGAAUAGCCCCGGGAAACUGGGAGUAAUACCGUAUGUGGUCGAGAGACGAAAGAUUUAUCGCCAAAGGAUCGGCCCGCGUUGGAUUAGGUAGUUGGUGGGGUAAUGGCCUACCAAGCCGACGAUCCAUAGCUGGUUUGAGAGGAUGAUCAGCCACACUGGGACUGAGACACGGCCCAGACUCCUACGGGGGGCAGCAGUGGGGAAUCUUAGACAAUGGGGGAAACCCUGAUCUAGCCAUGCCGCGUGAUCGAUGAAGGCCUUAGGGUUGUAAAGAUCUUUCAGUGGGGAAGAUAAUGACUGUACCCACAGAAGAAGCCCCGGCUAACUCCGUGCCAGCAGCCGCAGUAAGAC
rnacentral:rRNA from 1 species